GUCCACGCCGUAAACGAUGGGCACUAGGUGCUUGGGGGAGCGACCCUCUGAGUGCCGCCGCUAACGCAUUAAGUGCCCCGCCUGGGGAGUACGGCCGCAAGGCUGAAACUCAAAGGAAUUGACGGGGGCCCGCACAAGCGGUGGAGCAUGUGGUUUUAAUUCGACGCAACGCGAAGAACCUUACCUAGGCUUGACAUACACGGGAAACUGACCAGAAACGGUCGGCCCUCUUCGGAGCCCGUGCACAGGUGCUGCAUGGCUGUCGU
rnacentral:rRNA from 1 species